UUAAGCCAUGGCCUCUGCAUCAGCUCUUGCCUCCAGGUUCCUGCCCUGCUUGAGUUCCUGUCCUGCCUUCCCUCAGGGAUGGACUGUCCUGUGGAAGGGUAAGCAGUUUCCUCACAGCAAAGGUUAGCCCUAAUUAGGACAGGCAGUUAAUCAUGUGCAAUAGACGCGUUUUACUUCAUCAAAAGAACACUGCUCUGGUUUGAGUGUCUCCCAUCAAGACACCCCUACUGUGUGGUAUUGAGGAAGCAACCCCACUGUGGUCCUUGGAGUGGUACCUUUGAGAGAAGAUUAAGGUUAUUUGAGGCCGUGGGUGUGGGGGUGCUGCUGAGGGAGUGGAACUUUGUAAGAGAUAGGCCAGGGCAGAGGGGCUCUGCACUGCUGUGUGAUGCUCACAUCACCAUGGCUGGGGCUCUGCAGGUCUCCUCAGAUGGGUCAAUGGAUCUCAAACUCCUCGGAUUUCAGAACUGAGAGCUGUGACAUUCACUGACACAGAACUGUCAGUCUGUGACAUUCACUCAUAGACAAGUGAACAAGACAGUGAUCACCAUUCAUUGGUGAGGUUAUGAUGGCGUUUAUAAACUGGUUAGCAUUUUAAGUCAAGCCACCAACCGAGAUCCAUCUGUUUUCACCAGUGUGCCAGUAUGGCUGGGUGUUCUCUCACCUGCCGAAUGUCCGAAUAGAAGGCAGGGGAAGGAAAAUUGUCUUUUUCAACUGGGCUUCCAUAUUUUCAUGCCCUUCGAUUCCGGAGUUCCUAGACUGAGACUUAGCACCAGGUACUGUAUCUCCCUGCCUCUCUGCAGGUUACACCAUUGGUUCCCUGGUCUUGAGGCCUUUGGCCUUUAUCUGAAUUGAACUAUACCAUAGGUUCUUUGGGUCUCUAGUGUGCGAAUGGCACUCUCAGUCUCCAUACCCUCCCUCAUGGGCCGAUUCCUGAGUUUCUCCUUUUAUAGUUGUUUCUCCAGAGAAAUUGUAUUAUGCUAUACAUUUUGCAAUAAGUAAAUAAAUAACCUUUCAUUUCUCUCUCUCUCCACCUAGAUAAAUACAUCUGAUCAGUUAUGUUUCUUUAGAGGACCCUAAUACAUUAAGAGACCAGAAGAGUGCGUGGGAUCCUCUGGAUCUGGAGUGAGCACCACGUAGAUGCUACGAACUAAGCCUGAGUCCUCUGAAGGAAGCGAGAGCUCUUAACGAACCAUCUCCCUAGACUGAGCUAAAGGUUUUUAAAGGUAGGAUCUAUUUAUACGCUUAGUUUCCGUACUUUGAUGGGGCCAGGUGUGUGUUUGUGUGUGUGUGUGUGUGUGUGUGUAAACCAGUACGUGCACUGUUGGGACUUGAACCCAGGGCUUUGUUCCUGCUAGGCAAGCGCUCUACCACUGAACUAGGUCCUUAUGACUUCUGAGCAAGCAAAAGUGCCUAUGUCAAUCACACACUCAGUUCGACUUGAUACGUGGUAACACCGGCAUUCAUUGUCCCUCCUGUGCAGCCCACGCCGACUUCAGACUUUCACCAAGUUAUUCUUGAAGGUCACGUGCGCAGAUGGGCCAAGGUCGCCCUGGAGUAGCUGGCCCUCAGCUGCACUGAUCACCAGCCCCGGGCUGAGACUCACGCUGCUGUUGGGCAGUGAGGGCCUGCAAGACCAUCUCAGCCAAGACUCGGGUCACUAGCUUCCGAUUUGGAAUUGAUAUAAACAGUUGCCAUCCUUAUUGAUAUAAUCUUCCGCUGGGGAUUUUGGGAAAAAUAAAGUAGCAGUAAAAACAACUAGAAGCUUUCUUGUUCAUCCAGGACUCUGUAAAUCCGAGAUUACUCAUAGAUGGCCAUUGAAAUCAGUCAGAACUUCAGUUUAGAAAGGACAUUCCAUCAGCGCCAAAGAUCUUGUCAGUAUUUUAUUGAAAGGUCUUAUCCCUUAAAUAAUGGGCCUUUUUAUAUUUCAAGCGGUACUCAACCCAAAUCUCAAAAUAAUAUUAAAAUCACACUAAGGAAUUUUUAUUAAGUAUCUACUUAAUUUUAUUGUUGGUAAAAAUAUUGCAAGACACUUGUAGCUAAUGUUGCUGCUUUAAAAUAAGCACACUAAACAUCACAAGAAGAGACGGGGAAUACAUUCUAUAUAUUUGCAGAUAACCAGCUACCAUGAGAAUUUAAUGGUAAUCAACCAUGUUUUAUAAGAAACAAUUGCACUUGAAACAUUUUCAAAGUAAACAAAAAAUUCUACUUCCAUAUAUAAGUCUAUGAACAGAGGUUAAUCAUCUAUAACCUUGCCAGAAGUGUGUUUAAAUUAAAAAAAAGCUUAUAUAUUCAUAUAUUUAAUACAGCAGUCAUUCAUUUUUUUUAAAAAAAGGAAAAGUCUUGAAUUGUUUGUUUUCACAGAAUUUCCCCGUAGUUUGUUGCUCAGAAAAGCGCAACCCAGAAAUGAGCAGAAUAACACUUGAUUGGUAUUUAGUGCAGGCUUGGAGUGAUUUUAAUGAAAUGUUAAACAUGUACUCUUUAGCAAGUAUGAUGACUGCCUUUUCCUCAGGAGAUUCUUCUUUCCAGGACAUUAGUGGGGGCAUUUUUAACUAGGCUGUUUCUUGUGCUGCGUGUGGGGCUCGUGGCUGAGCCAGUCUGAAUGCAUCCACUACUCUUUCUUUCCUUGUUUUAAGACAGGGUCUCCAUUGCAUAGCCUUGGCUGGCCUGGAGCUCACUGUGUACAACAGACUGCCCUUGAACACAGAGAGCCACUUGGCUUCUGCCCCCCAAAAUGCUUGGAUCAAAGGCAAUGCACCACCAUGCCAGCCCGAUUAUGUCUUAAUCAUCUUAUUUCUGUACCCGUUUCCUGCUAUGACUGUGGUACUGGCCAAAGCUGGCAGGCAGGAAGGAAGAAGAAGUUAAUUUGGAAGAAUCACUGUAGCACUAUCAUUCUAGGGCUUUACGUGGAAAGAUUCCCACUCAAAAGUGUUAUAACAGUGAGGAAAUUGUUAAACUAACAAUUGUCUACGCAGGAAGUUUAGGAAUGAACACCUGUGUGGGAAGCGUGCAGUGUAUAUUAGUUGUUUACAUAAACAGUAAAAAAAAAAAGAGUCACAUUGAUUCUUAACAGUCUGAAGGAAGGUCCAGUACAUGUAAUACUAAAUCCAACUUCAAUAGUACAGCUCUCCACUUGACCGCACAUGCCAGCUGCUUCAUGAAGCCGAGCUAUUGUUUCUAGGGAGAAAAUGAUUUCUUAUAUGGCAAACAGCUUCCCUGCCAUCCUGUAGGGUAGACAGAACGGCAGCACAAAGGAGAAGUCGUAAUGGAUGCUCU
rnacentral:sRNA from 1 species